UACGGGGGGAGCAAGCGUUGUUCGGAUUUACUGGGCGUAAAGGGCGCGUAGGCGGUCAGCACAAGUCAGUUGUGAAAUCUCCGGGCUUAACUCGGAAAGGUCAACUGAUACUGUGCGACUAGAGUGCAGAAGGGGCAACUGGAAUUCUCGGUGUAGCGGUGAAAUGCGUAGAUAUCGGGAGGAACACCAAUGGCGAAGGCAGCUCGCUGGGACGUGGACUGACGCUGAGACGCGAAAGCGUGGGGAGCAAACAGG
rnacentral:rRNA from 1 species